UUUUCUUCCCUUUGUACCUUAUCUGGGUUUGCAUUGAUUUUUAAUUCUGUUUAUAUGGUAAUGUAAGGUAGGAGAGGACUUACACUAGAGUUGAGAAAAAUGGUGGAUGAUUCUUCUUUCUUUGCUUAGUUAAUCAGUUUCUGUGCUGCUCUACUUGCAUUGCUUUUUGUGUUUCAGAAUUGGAAUUUCACUUUAUGAUACAGAUUUUUCAAUGUCCUUUGAAAUGUUUUUUGCAUUUUGUUACCCUUUAGGAGUUUUUUUUUUUUCCUUUCUUUGAAUUGAAUCAAUGACAAUGGCUGGUAUGCAAUAAGGUUCAUAUAACGCAAGGUGACCUUGUGGGGAGGGGAAUGAUCGUAUCAUGGGUGACUAUGGAUGAACCAGGGUCGAGUGCAGUGCGAUAUUGGAGAGGGAAAAAUGGCAAGAAGAAGACUGCAGAAGGAAAAAUGGUUACUUAUAGGUUCUUCAAUUACUCAUCUGGGUUUAUUCAUCACGCCACCAUCAGAAAUUUGGAGGUAAUACCUUUCUCUUUUCCAUUAUUUAAAUGUUAUGUUAUAUGCCAAGGUAGAGAAGCUUGUAAGAAAAAAAGAAAAACAGGCAUUUUGGUUUGUGAAUCAAAUGUUGAUGUGUGUGCUUCUUUUGGGGCAGUACAACACCAAAUACUACUAUGAAGUUGGACUUGGGAACACAACACGCCAGUUUUGGUUUGUAACUCCACCUGAAAUUGGCCCUGAUGUACCAUAUACAUUUGGUCUCAUUGGUAAGUGUGUUAUUGUGUGGUUGGAUAUAGUUACUUUUUUCUUGCCAAGAUUUACAUAUCUUUUAAUUUAACUUAUAAUGUAGACACUGGUAGCAGCUAUGUGGUCUUUUGAGAAGAAAAAGUGCUACAUGUCUGUGUCCUAAUAGGCCAAUAUGUUUGUUGUAAACUGGUGUGGCAUUAUUUGUAGGGGAUCUUGGUCAGAGUUUUGAUUCAAAUAUAACGCUUUCUCACUAUGAAUUGAGUCCAAAAAAAGGAGAAACAGUACUGUUUGUUGGAGACCUCUCUUAUGCUGAUAACUACCCGAAUCAUGAUAAUGUUAGGUGGGAUACUUGGGGAAGGUUUACAGAAAGGAGUGUUGCAUAUCAACCAUGGAUAUGGACUGCAGGGAACCAUGAAAUUGACUUUGCUCCAGAAAUUGUAACUUCUCUUUGUUUUUUUUUUCAAUUUUAAGUUUGGUGCAAUGCAUUUUCCCAGUCCAAAUCUUGGUAAGAAGUGAGUUUUCAACAUGGAUCAACACUUUUUUUGCAGGGUGAAACCGAACCUUUCAAGCCUUUUAGCCACCGUUACCAUGUUCCUUACGAAGCAUCUCAGAGCACUUCACCCUUCUGGUAUUCUAUCAAGAGAGCUUCAGCACACAUCAUUGUCUUGUCCUCAUAUUCAGCAUAUGGUAAUAAUCUGUGUGUGCAUGUCUAUUCAAACAUAUCAAGUUAAACUGUUUAAUUGGGUUAAAUGCACACCUUUUUGUUGUAGUAAGUAAUGUUGGUUAUUCUCAGGCAAAUAUACGCCACAAUAUACAUGGCUAGAACAGGAGCUACCGAAAGUUAACAGGUCAGAGACUCCUUGGUUGAUUGUUCUGAUGCAUUCACCUUGGUACAAUAGCUACAACUAUCACUACAUGGAAGGGGAAACAAUGAGAGUAAUGUACGAAGCCUGGUUUGUGAAGUACAAGGUUGAUGUUGUGUUUGCUGGUCAUGUUCAUGCCUAUGAACGAUCUGUAAGUGCUAAAACUUGACUCCUUAAACUACUCUUCUUCCAUUCUUCAUCUGAAAUUUCCAAUGCUUCUGAAAGCCACAAGAAUCUAUCAUGUAUCAUUAGGCUUGCAUUGAAACACUACUCAACUAAAUGUCAGCUUCUGUUCCUAAACUUUAUAGGACAAAAAUAUUGCACAAAUGAACUUCAAUAAUCUCUUUGGAAUAGUAUCUGAUUGAUGGGCUGCUAUAUAUAUCAGGAACGUGUUUCCAACAUUGCAUACAACAUUAUAAAUGGUCAUUGCAUUCCUGUAAAAGAUCAAUCAGCUCCUGUAUACAUCACCAUUGGUGAUGGAGGAAACCUUGAAGGUUUAGCAACCAAGUAAGCUCUUUAUACGUAACAUGAUGAUUCUUGUCACAUUUCUCCUUACUGUUAUGCUAUUAAGUUUGAACAAGUGAAGACUUUUGCAAAAGAACAGAUAAGAUGAAUUUAUGUGUAAGUUAGAGUUAAAAUCAAUUCAUGUAUGCUGAGGAAAAACUUAUUUUAUUUGUUGUUUUUAUUUCUCCCUCUAAAAGAUCUUGUGGGGGAAAGUGUGUUCAAACAUUUACCAAGUCUGAUAUGAACAACAUUUGAACUGCAGCAUGACACAACCACAACCAGCAUAUUCUGCAUUCCGAGAGGCCAGUUUUGGACAUGCCAUAUUUGACAUAAGGAACAGAACUCAUGCUCACUAUAGCUGGAACAGAAAUCAAGAUGGUGCUGCAGUGGAGGCUGAUUACAUUUGGUUUUUCAACCGAUUCUGGUACCCAGUUGAUGAUUCCACAGUUUAUGUUUCACAUUAAUGCUCACAUUCACUGAUCUUCAUAGAAGAAUGCAUGAUGUGAUGCCAAUAAAUUCAGCACUCGGCAACUAAAGAGUGCCAAUUCCACCAACAUGGAUUAUCAAUGUCACUGAAUCUCUGACACAGUUUAUAAAUUCAAAUUGCCUGCUUCUGUUCUGAAACACUUUACACUUUUAUCAUAUAUUUUAGGGGCAAAUUCUUCCUACACCCAAUCUGCAAUCUGUUUGAACCUGUACCCACAGAUUUAAAUUUCCAAAAAUGUUAUUCAUUCCAAAAAUUAAAAUUCGAAAUUUAAAUACAUUAUAAAAAAUAGAUCCGUAAGAGAUUAUUGUGUUCAAAAAUAAAAAACCGAAAAAAAAAACAAGAUCCUAUUCUGGAUAAGAAAAUCCGCAAUAAAAAAAUUCAUUUUGAGAAAAAAACUGAAACAUAUUCCGAAAAACGGGGUCUAAAAUGCAUUACUCCAGUUUAAUUAAGGGUAUUUUCGUCUUUUCAUACUGAAAUUAAGUGUACUGGUAUGGUGCAGGGAGCAAUUGCCCAAGUUCCGUAUCAAAUCCAUCAUUUAAUUUGGGCCUAGAGAUGUAGCCUACGUAGCCUAUUAGUUUUUAGGUAAAUUCUUUCUACACCCAACAUUUUUAACCUUACACCCAACCCAACACAAUUUUAAAAUUUCAAAAAUAUCUUUUAUAAAUGCCACUAUUGAAUUAAAUAAUCAAAGACUACACAAAUGAUAAAUACUUAGAUUUUUUGAACUUAAAAAAAGACCAACAAUUUCUCUCUAUCCCAAACUUUACAAAAAAAUUUAAUUUACAAUGUAAAUAAUUUUUCAUACUAAUAAUCAAUAAUUUAGUAUAAUAUGUUGCUUAUACCAUUAAACUGUUAUUAAUAAAUCUAACAGUAAGAUUAACAAUUCAAUUUAGUUUUUUUAUUAACAUAUAUUUAAAUUACUAAUAUCAAUUGUUAAAAUCCAAAAAAAAUAAAUAAACAUUUUUAACUUUAUAAUUCACUAAAUAAUAAUUUUCAACCACACUUAAAUUUCAUACUAAAAUAUAGUUUUCAACUUUACAAUGUACUAUAAUAUUAUUGUUAUGUUCAAUGAUUAAAUAAACAUUUGUACGCUAUGAAGAAUUAAAUGCAGUGUGAGAGGGUUCACGAAAAUUAAUUGGUGAUUUGAAUUUUGUGCGUAACAGUGUAUGAUUUGAUUUGGCAAGAACCUUUGGGUUCUCAGAAUGAGAUUGAAAUUGAAAAAUGCAAUGAAUGAAUUCAAAAACAAAAGUUUGAUGCCAGUUAUCACAAACUCCACCGCUUCGUGUGUGUUCUUUUGUGAAGAAAACUGUGUACAAUUUUUCUUCCACCUGAUAUAGGAAGAAGAAUCCAUGAAUAUUAUUGUUAUUCAUAUUGAUAUUCUAUCAUUAUCAUCAUCAUCAUCAUCAUCACUUUAUUCUUCCUAUUAUUACCAGUCACCGCUUUAAGUAAAUCCAACUCAGUUCGAUUUUCGGUCAUUGCACAGACUCCACCGUUUCGUGUGUGUUUUUUUGUGAAGAAAACUAUGGGCAAUGUUGCAAGCUUCAUGGUCCAAUUGUCUUGUUAUAUGCUGUUCAUAGCAAUUAGUAAACCCUUUUUAUUAUUAUUAUUAUUACUGCACCGGUUGCUUUGGAUUGAAAUUAUAAAUAGGUGAUCGAGUGUUGGGGUGUGGAUCAGUAGAAUCACAGGGUUUGAGCAAAAUGGGUGUUGUGAAGGGUCUCUUAGCUUUAGCUUUGGUUCUGAAUGUGGUUGUGGUGAGUAAUGGAGGCAAAAGCAGCAACUUUGUGAGGAAAACCAACAAGAAUAGGGAUAUGCCACUUGACAGUGAUGUGUUUAGGGUUCCUCCUGGUUAUAAUGCUCCUCAGCAGGUACAUACUCUACCCUUUUCUUCCUUUUGUACCUUAUCUGGGUUUCCAUUGAUUUUUAAUUCUGUUUAUAUGGUAAUGUAAGGUAGGAGAGGACUUACACUAGAGUUGAGAAAAAUGGUGGAUGAUUCUUCUUUCUUUGCUUAGUUAAUCAGUUUCUGUGCUGCUGCUUGAUCCACUACUUGCAUUGCUUUUUGUGUUUCAGAAUUGGAAUUUCACUUUAUGAUACAGAUUAUUUAUUUGCUUAGUGAAUCAGUUUCUCUGCUGCUGCUUGAUCCACUACUUGCAUUGCUUUUUGUGUUUUAGAAUUGGAAUUUCACUUAUGAUACAGAUUUUAGAGAGGGAAUUCCAUUGUUCUUUGAAAUGUUCUUGCAUUUUGUUACCCUUUAGCAGUUUUUUUUUCCUUUCUU
rnacentral:lncRNA from 1 species